CACCCUGGCCCCACUAUGCCCUGCAAGGCCCCGGGAGCUCCCCCUGCGUCCUGAGAUGAGAACCCACCAUCUGCAGACGGACUCACCAAUCCCGCCAGCAAUGUAACACACAGCUCUCUCCACAGGCCUCGGGGGAGCCGGAGCCCUGGGAGCCGGGGGGCUCGGAGUUGGGGGGCUCGGAGCCGCAGGGGCCAUCCCAGGGGUUGGAGGCUUUGGAGGUGUGUCCCCAGCCGCAGCUGCUAAAGCAGCGAAAUUCGGAGUUGCAGCAAGACCUGGCUUCGGACUGUCUCCUAUUUUCCCAGGUGCUGGAGCCGGGGGCCUGGGCAUUGGCGGCAAACCUCCCAAGCCCUACGGAGGGGCCCUGGGAGCCCUGGGAUUCCAAGGUGAGUAGAGACUCAGAGAGGGCAGGGUGGGGA
rnacentral:lncRNA from 1 species